CCAGGAGAAGCUGAAGUCCUUUCCUGUGUGUGUGAGCGCCAAGCUGGAGCCCAAGGAUGACAUGGAGGAGGCGCUUGGGGGGUCUCCCCAGGAUACAAGAAGUCUGUCUUCCCAGACGGACUGGCUGGUGCUGUAACAAAGACCCAUGUGAUGCUGGGGGUAGAGACAGAUAAACUGUUCAGUGCCCCUUGUCCAUCAGUGAGAGAGCAGCUGGAGCAGAAGGUGGGUCCCAGAGAACUACUUCUACAUGCCAGACCUGGGCCAAGUCCCCCAAGGUCGAUGUGCCAUCCUACCUGACCUGCCUGGCAGACCUCAAGUAUGGUGCCAGCCUGGGCCCCAGCAUCACCCACUCUGCCCUGGCACCAGACCCCAACCUCCCCCAGCUGCUGCGGUGCUGGUCAGUGCACCCUCAUCCCCACCCCAGGCCCCGGCCACUGCAGUCCAAGGCGCCGGGCAGGACGACAGCAGCAGCAUCCCCUUCAGGAGUGAGAGCCGUAAGCCAAGGCAGGGAACUGAUGUGGGAUCUCUUCAACAAGCUGGUCCUGAGACGCAAGGGUAGGACCUCUGGGGCUGGUGAGGGGCCGGGAGGAGAGAGCCCGUAUGUCAGACAACAAACCGUCUCUGCUAACCCCCAGCAGCCACAGGCAGAGGAAGAAGAGGACAACUGGAAAUCCU
rnacentral:lncRNA from 1 species